rnacentral:rRNA from 1 species
UGCCAGACUCCUACGGGAGGCAGCAGUGGGGGAUAUUGCACAAUGGGGGGAACCCUGAUGCAGCGACGCCGCGUGGGUGAAGGAGCGUUUCGGCGCGUAAAGCCCUAUCGGCAGGGAAGAAGGAGGACGGUACCUGACUAAGAAGCCCCGGCUAACUACGUGCCAGCAGCCGCGGUAAUACGUAGGGGGCAAGCGUUAUCCGGAUUUACUGGGUGAAAAGGGGGCGCAGACGGCAGCGCAAGCCAGGAGUGAAAGCCCGGGGCCCAACCCCGGGACUGCUCUUGGAACUGCGCGGCUGGAGUGCAGGAGGGGCAGGCGGAAUUCCUGGUGUAGCGGUGAAAUGCGUAGAUAUCAGGAGGAACACCGGCGGCGAAGGCGGCCUGCUGGACGACAACUGACGGUGAGGCGCGAAAGCGUGGGGAGCAAACAGGAUUAGAUACCCCAGUA